GUGAUCUAGCCAUGGGCAGGUUGAAGGUUGAGUAACAUCAACUGGAGGACCGAACCGACUAAUGUUGAAAAAUUAGCGGAUGACUUGUGGCUAGGGGUGAAAGGCCAAUCAAACUCGGAGAUAGCUGGUUCUCCCCGAAAGCUAUUUAGGUAGCGCCUCGGACGAAUACUACUGGGGGUAGAGCACUGUUAAGGCUAGGGGGUCAUCCCGACUUACCAACCCUUUGCAAACUCCGAAUACCAGUAAGUACUAUCCGGGAGACACACGGCGGGUGCUAACGUCCGUCGUGGAGAGGGAAACAACCCAGACCGCCAGCUAAGGUCCCAAAGUAUUGCUAAGUGGGAAACGAUGUGGGAAGGCUCAGACAGCUAGGAUGUUGGCUUAGAAGCAGCCAUCAUUUAAAGAAAGCGUAAUAGCUCACUAGUCGAGUCGGCCUGCGCGGAAGAUGUAACGGGGCUAAGCAAUACACCGAAGCUGCGGCAAUAUCUUUUAGAUAUUGGGUAGGGGAGCGUUCUGUAAGCCGUUGAAGGUGAAUCGUAAGGUUUGCUGGAGGUAUCAGAAGUGCGAAUGCUGACAUGAGUAACGACAAAGGGGGUGAAAAACCUCCUCGCCGGAAGACCAAGGGUUCCUGUCCAACGUUAAUCGGGGCAGGGUGAGUCGACCCCUAAGGUGAGGCCGAAAGGCGUAAUCGAUGGGAAACGGGUUAAUAUUCCCGUACUUCUGACUAUUGCGAUGGGGGGACGGAGAAGGCUAGGUGGGCCAGGCGACGGUUGUCCUGGUUCAAGUGCGUAGGCUUGAGAGUUAGGUAAAUCCGGCUCUCUCUAAGGCUGAGACACGACGUCGAGCUGCUACGGCAGUGAAGUCAUUGAUGCCAUGCUUCCAGGAAAAGCCUCUAAGCUUCAGAUAGUCAGGAAUCGUACCCCAAACCGACACAGGUGGUCGGGUAGAGAAUACCAAGGCGCUUGAGAGAACUCGGGUGAAGGAACUAGGCAAAAUGGUACCGUAACUUCGGGAGAAGGUACGCUCUUGAUGGUGAAGUCCCUCGCGGAUGGAGCUGACGAGAGUCGCAGAUACCAGGUGGCUGCAACUGUUUAUUAAAAACACAGCACUGUGCAAAAUCGCAAGAUGACGUAUACGGUGUGACGCCUGCCCGGUGCCGGAAGGUUAAUUGAUGGGGUUAGCGCAAGCGAAGCUCUUGAUCGAAGCCCCGGUAAACGGCGGCCGUAACUAUAACGGUCCUAAGGUAGCGAAAUUCCUUGUCGGGUAAGUUCCGACCUGCACGAAUGGCGUAAUGAUGGCCACGCUGUCUCCACCCGAGACUCAGUGAAAUUGAAAUCGCUGUGAAGAUGCAGUGUACCCGCGGCUAGACGGAAAGACCCCGUGAACCUUUACUACAGCUUGGCACUGAACAUUGAACCUACAUGUGUAGGAUAGGUGGGAGGCUAUGAAGACGUGACGCCAGUUGCGUUGGAGCCGUCCUUGAAAUACCACCCUUGUAUGUUUGAUGUUCUAACUUAGACCCAUUAUCUGGGUUGAGGACAGUGCCUGGUGGGUAGUUUGACUGGGGCGGUCUCCUCCCAAAGAGUAACGGAGGAGCACGAAGGUGGGCUAAUCACGGUUGGACAUCGUGAGGUUAGUGCAAUGGCAUAAGCCCGCUUAACUGCGAGAAUGACGGUUCGAGCAGGUGCGAAAGCAGGUCAUAGUGAUCCGGUGGUUCUGUAUGGAAGGGCCAUCGCUCAACGGAUAAAAGGUACUCCGGGGAUAACAGGCUGAUACCGCCCAAGAGUUCAUAUCGACGGCGGUGUUUGGCACCUCGAUGUCGGCUCAUCACAUCCUGGGGCUGAAGUCGGUCCCAAGGGUAUGGCUGUUCGCCAUUUAAAGUGGUACGCGAGCUGGGUUUAGAACGUCGUGAGACAGUUCGGUCCCUAUCUGCCGUGGGCGUUGGAAGAUUGAAGGGGGCUGCUCCUAGUACGAGAGGACCGGAGUGGACGAACCUCUGGUGUUCGGGUUGUGUCGCCAGACGCAUUGCCCGGUAGCUAAGUUCGGAAUUGAUAAGCGCUGAAAGCAUCUAAGCGCGAAGCGAGCCCUGAGAUGAGUCUUCCC
rnacentral:rRNA from 1 species